GCGAAUUUACGGAAAUAGUAUUUUCAUUCGCAAUGAAGAGGUCAGGAGUUCGAAUCUCCUAUGCUCCA
rnacentral:tRNA from 1 species